rnacentral:rRNA from 1 species
AUUGAACGCUGGCGGCAGGCCUAACACAUGCAAGUCGAACGGUAACAUUUCUAGCUUGCUAGAAGAUGACGAGUGGCGGACGGGUGAGUAAUGCUUGGGAACUUGCCUUUGCGAGGGGGAUAACAGUUGGAAACGACUGCUAAUACCGCAUAAUGUCUUCGGACCAAACGGGGCUUCGGCUCCGGCGCAAAGAGAGGCCCAAGUGAGAUUAGCUAGUUGGUAAGGUAACGGCUUACCAAGGCGACGAUCUCUAGCUGUUCUGAGAGGAAGAUCAGCCACACUGGGACUGAGACACGGCCCAGACUCCUACGGGAGGCAGCAGUGGGGAAUAUUGCACAAUGGGGGAAACCCUGAUGCAGCCAUGCCGCGUGUGUGAAGAAGGCCUUCGGGUUGUAAAGCACUUUCAGUUGUGAGGAAAAGUUAGUAGUUAAUACCUGCUAGCCGUGACGUUAACAACAGAAGAAGCACCGGCUAACUCCGUGCCAGCAGCCGCGGUAAUACGGAGGGUGCGAGCGUUAAUCGGAAUUACUGGGCGUAAAGCGCACGCAGGCGGUUUGUUAAGCUAGAUGUGAAAGCCCCGGGCUCAACCUGGGAUGGUCAUUUAGAACUGGCAGACUAGAGUCUUGGAGAGGGGAGUGGAAUUCCAGGUGUAGCGGUGAAAUGCGUAGAUAUCUGGAGGAACAUCAGUGGCGAAGGCGACUCCCUGGCCAAAGACUGACGCUCAUGUGCGAAAGUGUGGGUAGC